UACGUAGGGUGCAGGCGUUAAUCGGAAUUACUGGGCGUAAAGCGUGCGCAGGCGGUCUGCUAAGAGAGGUGUGAAAUCCCCGGGCUUAACCUGGGAACUGCGCUUCUAACUGGCAGGCUUGAGUGUGGCAGAGGGGGGUGGAAUUCCACGGUGUAGCAGUGAAAUGCGUAGAGAUGUGGAGGAACACCGAUGGCGAAGGCAGCCCCCUGGGCUAACACUGACGCUCAUGCACGAAAGCGUGGGGAGCAAACAGG
rnacentral:rRNA from 1 species